CCCACCCCAAAUUCACAUGUUGAAGCCCUAACCUCCAAUGUGAUGGUAUUUGGAGAUGGGGCCUUUGGAAGGUAAUUAAGGCUAGAUAGGGUCACAAGGUUGGUCCCCUUAUGAUGGCAUUUGUGUUCUUAUACAAAGAGACAGGAGACUCUCUCCAUCAUGUGAAGAUACAGCAAAACAGCAGCUGUCUGCAAGCCAGGAAGGGAACCCUCACCAGGAACCAAACCAUGAUCUCGGACGUCCCAGCCUCUAGGAACGCCUUUCCAUCUUCCUAGAGUGCCUAACCUGGCCUGUGUGCUUGUAAGCUUCUGCUCAUUCUUCAAUACCCAGCAGAGACUUCCUCCUCCAUGCAGCCUUCCAAGACCCACCUGAGUACAGAAAUUGGCUCUUCCUCCUGCUGGUCCUGAGGCACUCCAUGUUCAUCCUAAGAAAGAUCAGAUACCAUCAGCAUAAUGUCAUCAAUGCAGUGGACCAGUGUGACAUGGGGAACAUAAAGAUGGUCACGAUUUUUGCAGACUCCAUAUGCAAAGUAUUAUAGGCCUUUCCAUCUAUCCGGAGUGACCUACCAGAGACAGGACAGUUUGACCAGCAAGCUUCUGAUCACUCUUCAACACCCAGCAAGAAGUCUUAUCCUCCAUGCAGCCUUCUAAGACCUCUCUAAGCACAGGUAUCAGAUCCUCCUCUGGAUCACUCUGUCUUGUUACUGCAUUUAUCUCACUGGAUUUCAGUGACGUGUGUAGACAACUAAUUUGUGCCUGCCUGAUCUGUGAGCUCUUCAUUCAAAGCAGUUGGCUCCUGAGUACAGGAUAAACCCCUAGAAUUGAAUAAAUUUGGUCUUACCUCA
rnacentral:lncRNA from 1 species